rnacentral:rRNA from 1 species
CCUACGGGCGGCAGCAGUGGGGAAUAUUGCACAAUGGGGGAAACCCUGAUGCAGCGACGCCGCGUGAGUGAAGAAGUAUUUCGGUAUGUAAAGCUCUAUCAGCAGGGAAGAAAAUGACGGUACCUGAUUAAGAAGCCCCGGCUAACUACGUGCCAGCAGCCGCGGUAAUACGUAGGGGGCAAGCGUUAUCCGGAUUUGCUGGGUGUAAAGGGGGCGUAGACGGCAGCACAAGUCUGGAGUGAAAUGCCGGGGCUUAACCCCGGAACUGCUUUGGAAACUGUGCAGCUAGAGUGCAGGAGAGGGAAGUGGAAAUCCUAGUGUAGCGGUGAAAUGCGUAGAUAUUAGGAGGAACACCAGUGGCGAAGGCGGCUUACUGGACUGUAACUGACGUUGAGGCUCGAAAGCGUGGGGAGCAAACAGGAUUAGAUACCCCUGUAGUC